AUGGCUCAGGAUGAACGCUAGCGACAGGCUUAACACAUGCAAGUCGAGGGGCAGCAUAGAAGUAGCAAUACUUGGUGGCGACCGGCGCACGGGUGAGUAACGCGUAUGCAACCUACCUAUCGAGGGGGGAAUAACCCGGCGAAAGUCGGACUAAUACCGCAUAAAACAGGGGCACCGCAUGGUGAUAUUUGUUAAAGAAAUUCGCUGAUAGAUGGGCAUGCGUUCCAUUAGGUAGUUGGUGAGGUAACGGCUCACCAAGCCGACGAUGGAUAGGGGAACUGAGAGGUUGGUCCCCCACACUGGUACUGAGACACGGACCAGACUCCUACGGGAGGCAGCAGUGAGGAAUAUUGGUCAAUGGGCGGGAGCCUGAACCAGCCAAGUCGCGUGAAAGGAAGAAGGAUCUAUGGUUCGUAAACUUCUUUUGCAGGGGAAUAAAGUGCAGGACGUGUCCUGUUUUGUAUGUACCCUGAGAAUAAGGAUCGGCUAACUCCGUGCCAGCAGCAGC
rnacentral:rRNA from 1 species